GAAAGAAUAUCGGAGACGGAUGGGCAUGCGGCGCAUUAGCUGGUUGGCGGGGUAACGGCCCACCAAGGCGACGAUGCGUAGGGGUUCUGAGAGGAAGGUCCCCCACACUGGUACUGAGACACGGACCAGACUCCUACGGGAGGCAGCAGUGAGGAAUAUUGGUCAAUGGGCGAGAGCCUGAACCAGCCAAGUCGCGUGAGGGAGUACUGCCCUAUGGGUUGUAAACCUCUUUUGUCGGGGAGCAAAAGCCGGACGUGUCCGGCUGUGAGAGUACCCGAAGAAAAAGCAUCGGCUAACUCCGUGCCAGCAGCCGCGGUAAUACGGAGGAUGCGAGCGUUAUCCGGAUUUAUUGGGUUUAAAGGGUGCGCAGGCGGAUUUUUAAGUCAGCGGUCAAAUCGUGGGGCUCAACCCCAUCCAGCCGUUGAAACUGGGGAUCUAGAGUGUGCGAGAGGUAUGCGGAAUGCGUGGUGUAGCGGUGAAAUGCAUAGAUAUCACGCAGAACCCCGAUUGCGAAGGCAGCAUACCGGUGCACAACUGACGCUCAGGCACGAAAGCGUGGGUAUCGAACAGGAUUAGAUACCCUGG
rnacentral:rRNA from 1 species